CACGUAGGCACCAAGCGUUGUCCGGAUUUAUUGGGCGUAAAGGGCUCGUAGGCGGUUCGGUAAGUCGGGUGUGAAAACUCUGGGCUCAACCCAGAGCCGCCACCCGAUACUGCUGUGACUCGAGUGCGGUAGGGGAGCGGGGAAUUCCUGGUGUAGCGGUGAAAUGCGCAGAUAUCAGGAGGAACACCAGUGGCGAAAGCGCCUUGCUGGGUCUGCACUGACACUGAGGGACGAAAGCUAGGGGAGCGAAAGGG
rnacentral:rRNA from 1 species